GACGAACGCUGGCGGCGUGCUUAACACAUGCAAGUCGAACGGAAAGGCCCUGCUUGCAGGGUACUCGAGUGGCGAACGGGUGAGUAACACGUGGGUGAUCUGCCCUGCACUUCGGGAUAAGCCUGGGAAACUGGGUCUAAUACCGGAUAGGAGCCAUUUUUAGUGUGAUGGUUGGAAAGUUUUUUCGGUGUAGGAUGAGCUCGCGGCCUAUCAGCUUGUUGGUGGGGUAAUGGCCUACCAAGGCGGCGACGGGUAGCCGGCCUGAGAGGGUGGAUGGCCACAUUGGGACUGAGAUACGGCCCAGACUCCUACGGGAGGCAGCAGGGGGGAAUAUUGCACAAUGGGCGCAAGCCUGAUGCAGCGACGCCGCGUGGGGGAUGACGGCCUUCGGGUUGUAAACUCCUUUCGCUAGGGACGAAGCUUUUUGUGACGGUACCUAGAUAAGAAGCACCGGCUAACUACGUG
rnacentral:rRNA from 1 species